rnacentral:misc_RNA from 1 species
UAUCGUACAACAGAGGCACAAGGGCUGUCGCUGAUCUUUAAAAGGUUGUGCACGCCCAAGUGCUCUCACACACAUCCAUCUCACCCCUUGUGCAUCACCGCGUGGGUCCCCCCUUACGGGAGGGUUCACGUCUUCACAUAAAACUUAAUGCAGUAUAGAAUGUUUUCUUUUUUGUUUGCGGUCACACGCAAUAAAUACAACUUUCAACAACGGAUCUCUUGGCUCUCGCAUCGAUGAAGAACGCAGCGAAAUGCGAUAAGUAAUGUGAAUUGCAGAAUUCAGUGAAUCAUCGAAUCUUUGAACGCACCUUGCGCCCCUUGGCUAUUCCGAGGAGCAUGCCUGUUUGAGUAUCAUGAACACCUCAACUCUCAUGGUUUGCCGUGAUGAGCUUGGACUUUGGAGGUUUUGCUGGCCCAUGGUCGGCUCCUCUCAAACAGAUUAGCUUGCCAGUUUUCGGUGGCGUCACAGGUGUGAUAACUAUCUACGCUCGUGGUCGUCUGCUGGUUAACCUUUCGGUGACGGAGGUUUGCUGGAGCUUAUAAAUGUCUCUCCUCAGCGAAGACAGCUAUUUGAACGUUUG